rnacentral:lncRNA from 1 species
UCAUAUCUUAAAACAUUUUCUUGUUUUUGUAAUAACUUUAUCUUACUCAUAAGCAAGAAUCAAAGCAAAAGCAGUACAAAUCAAGUAUUCCUAAGUACUAUCUGAUACAGAAUCAAAGCUAAAGCAUUACAAUCAAGUAUUCCUUAGAACUAUCUGAUACAUAUAUGAAAAGUACAUCCAUACAUCACUAUUUAUUUUUUCAGAACCGAAUAGAGAUGGCGAAAAUAAAAUAGUUUUUUAGAUAAAAAAAAUAUAUAUAUAUGAUAAAGAGUGGUGAGGGUUCGAGUCAUGUAUAUCAAGAGCUUACGAGGGCAUCCUGUAAUAAGCAGUCAUGGUAUGUAUAACUUGGAAAUAUUUUGCAAUACAUGAAUCUGCAACCUUAGAAGCAUAAUGUAAUCCGCUGUUCUGUGUAAAAGCCUUUCGGGUUUUAAGCCUUGGCCUCCUGGUAUAAUCUUUUCCAACUUCUUCACUUUGAGUCUGACUGCCCAUCUUCCCAUUUUUCUAUUUCUUCUUCUCAUUUUCAUUGGCAUAGUUUUUCCUAUUCUAUAAUGCAUCAUUAUCGAACAAUUAAAAGAUGAUAAUAUGUUUUUGAAAUAGAGGUUGGUUUUCUG